GGCUGGCUGGCUGUGAUUAUAUUUGCAACCCAAUCUUGGCCUGCCAGGCAGAGCGACUACAAAAAGAGGAGGAAAGGCACAGAGAACCUCAGAGGUGGGGAGCGCUGACUGGAUGGAAGCCCUUAAGGAGAGUGAACGCCAAACAGGAGUCCCAUGAGACUAUAAGUAGCAACCAACUUAGGGAAGCUUCUUUUAGGACUUGUGACCAGAAGAGCCUUAGAGAGGACAAGAGAGUUCUAAAGAGCCAGUGGCCAUUCUUACAUCCAGGACAACACCAAAGGAAGGUCUUUGUUCCUUGAAGAUUCAGAUCAGGAAGUCUGAUGCCUCCUGCCACCUCCUUGCAGCUCUGAAGCUUUUUUAUACAACAGAUGCUUAAUAAUUCUGUGAAAUGAAUUGAGUAUCACACUUCUUCUUUCCUUCCAAAGUUUCUAGAGGCUGUAGACAUUACCUCUGAGCACACACCCGUUUUCCUACCAGGUUCUUUCAGGUCAUAGACACAAAGAAGCUUUUUGUUCUUAUUAUUGAAUAGCUUACAUUUAAUGUGUGUCUGUGGUGUAUGCAUGUGCAUAUAUAUGUGUAUUUUAUAUGUACGCAUGUGUGUGAGUGUGUAUACAUGUAUGUGGCCAUGCAUAUGAAGGCCAAAGGUCAAUAUUGGAUGUUUUCCUCUAUCACCCUCCACUUUAUUUAUUGAUACAUGGUGUCUCAAUCAACCUGGAACUCACUGAAUAGGCAUAACUAGCUAGCUGGCCAGCAGAUUACAGGGCUCCUCUAUUGGUGAAAUUAUUAAGGCCACUCCACAUAGUUAAAAGGAAGAUUUAUUUAGUGGGUAACUUA